rnacentral:rRNA from 1 species
GUGGGGAAUAUUGGACAAUGGGCGAAAGCCUGAUCCAGCCACGCCGCGUGUGUGAAGAAGGUCUUCGGAUUGUAAAGCACUUUAAGUUGGGAGGAAGGGCAGUAAGUUAAUACCUUGCUGUUUUGACGUUACCGACAGAAUAAGCACCGGCUAACUUCGUGCCAGCAGCCGCGGUAAUACGAAGGGUGCAAGCGUUAAUCGGAAUUACUGGGCGUAAAGCGCGCGUAGGUGGUUUUGUAAGUUGGAGGUGAAAUCCCCGGGCUCAACCUGGGAACUGCCUCCAAAACUGCAUGACUAGAGUACGGUAGAGGGUAGUGGAAUUUCCUGUGUAGCGGUGAAAUGCGUAGAUAUAGGAAGGAACACCAGUGGCGAAGGCGACUACCUGGACUGAUACUGACACUGAGGUGCGAAAGCGUGGGGAGCAAACAGGAUUAGAUACCCGGGUAGUCC